rnacentral:lncRNA from 1 species
CCAGCCUUCCUGACCUCCUCAGGGGCUGGUUAGCAGUAACCAAAUAAAAGAAGGAUAUGGAAGGAUCUCUGUUAACUUCCUGAGGUUCUUCAGCUGCAGAGAUGGUGAUGAUGAUGUUGGCGCCCAGGGUUGCUCUGAGGACUACAGGAGAGGACACAGGUGGAAGAAUUAGCACAGGACCUGGCACACAAUAGGUGCUCCACAGCUGAUAGAUGCACUGGACUCUUCAAAGUGAAGGUCACAGAUGUGGAUAGUGAGGGUAAAGAGAGGCCAAGAGUGAAAGGCUCUUGAGCCACUGCUUGUGCAAACAGGUGGGCUGGCAGCUGCUGACAGUGACAUUGGCUGUUUUUUAUUGUUUAAUCCUCCACAAGUGUCAUAUUCCAUCCUCAUCACAAGCUGUACAAAGUGAGUUAUGAUUUUGUCUCCAUUUUGUAGAUGGGAAGGUGGAGGUGCAGGCAGGUUAAGUAGGUGGGAACCAGACAGCAGUUUUCAAUAGAAAAGAAUAAAACAAUUCAAGUUCAGAGUAUGACAAGCUUUUAACUUUCUAUUAAAAAAAUCACUCUUAAACGUUUCUCCUGAACAUGUCUCCCAACUUUUGUUAGCCUCUCUAGCAUUUACUUUGUGACUUCCUUCACCAUAGAACUUACUCCUCUCUGGCAGGCCACCCUAGCCCUCAUUGCUCAUGGAAGGCGGAAUCCUGGUGCCAGCCUGCUGGGCCAGGACUAGAAGUGAAGUUGGGUUCCAUAAAUUGCGAAUCUUUGCUACAGCUUUGGAAGUGGUGAAGGCUCCUGCUUUAUAUGCAGCAGCACCUCUGACACGUGGUGCAAAUGGUGUCUGGCUAACCUAAAUCAUAUUUCAAAUAUGCUAUUGGAAAAACCCUGAUUCACAGGAAAAAUGCCCCCUUGAUGUUUCCUCCCCCGCUUGAUUAUUCGGGGAUCCUGGAUGUGGCUGGUAGCAGGGGAG